AAAUCGUUCAGCUUUAAGCAUUCCAGUGGAAAAUGUAAACUCUUUUCAAUUACAAUCGAACAAGCCGGGAAUUCGGUUGUUAAUAAAACUGGAACCGAUAUAAGCAAUACAGAGGACUGGCCUUCAAGAAUAGCUGGUCCUUGUGAAAACAACACUUGUUCCAAGAAUGAAGUUUGCGAACCGACUAGCAGGUACUCGAAGAAAUGCGUCGUAGUGUUCUGUCCCUCCCCUCUACCUGUUGAACACGGCAAGCCCGAUUUCACCACAACCUACGAGACGACCAAAGUAGGAAGUCGUCUGUCCUACACGUGUGAUGUUAACUUCCACCCAGUUGGUAACAGAACCUGUCUCCCAGACGGAACAUGGUCUGAGUUCAGAUGUGAACCUGGUUCGCCUUAAAUCUCUUAGUAUGACUAAGGAAAUCGUAUGGUCCCUUCAGAAACAUGAGGCAUACGCACAGGGCAAUCGAUGAUGAUGAUGACGUCAGUGAUGAUGAUGACGCCGAUGAUGUUGAUUAUGAUAACGAUGGGGAUUAUCACAGGACAUUCUUGUUUGACAAUUGCCUUUAAAUUAGUUCUAGAUAUAACUGUGGUAAUCUGUAAUAAUUGUUGUUGGUUUGAGGGGGUUUUAUUUGCAGAAUUAGCCAACAAUCACCUUAUUGUGUAACUAAUGUUUUGUUUUAUCCUUUGUUAGGUUAUAUUAAAGGGACAUUCCCGAGUUUGCUGCAUUGUAAGAUGUUUCCGACUAAUAAAAUCUUUCUACGAUUAAACUUACAUAUUAAAUAUAUUUUCUUGUUUAGAAUAUCAGUGUCUGUAUAUUCAAUGUGUUUCUGGUCGUCUUAAUAUUGGUAAGAAGACAAAACUGGAUUGUGUUUUCAAAUAAUUUCGUACGUAUGAAAAAAAUAUAUUUUAGGAAAUAAAAUGAUAUUUAACCUAGUACUAAUAU